rnacentral:rRNA from 1 species
UAUGCGUUGUUGGGUAGGGGAGCGUUCUGUAAGCCUGUGAAGGUGUGCUGUGAGGCAUGCUGGAGGUAUCAGAAGUGCGAAUGCUGACAUAAGUAACGAUAAAGCGGGUGAAAAGCCCGCUCGCCGGAAGACCAAGGGUUCCUGUCCAACGUUAAUCGGGGCAGGGUGAGUCGACCCCUAAGGCGAGGCCGAAAGGCGUAGUCGAUGGGAAACAGGUUAAUAUUCCUGUACUUGGUGUUACUGCGAAGGGGGGACGGAGAAGGCUAUGUUGGCCGGGCGACGGUUGUCCCGGUUUAAGCGUGUAGGCUGGUUUUCCAGGCAAAUCCGGAAAAUCAAGGCUGAGGCGUGAUGACGAGGCACUACGGUGCUGAAGCAACAAAUGCCCUGCUUCCAGGAAAAGCCUCUAAGCAUCAGGUAACAUCAAAUCGUACCCCAAACCGACACAGGUGGUCAGGUAGAGAAUACCAAGGCGCUUGAGAGAACUCGGGUGAAGGAACUAGGCAAAAUGGUGCCGUAACUUCGGGAGAA